AGCUACAACCAUACCACCCUGAAUUCACUACAUCUCAUCUGGUCUCCGAAGCUAAGCAGGGUUGGGCCUGGUUAGUAUUUACAUGGGUGACCUCUGCUAUUAUGUAAUAGUUC
rnacentral:rRNA from 1 species